UACGUAGGGACCAAGCGUUGUCCGGAAUCAUUGGGCGUAAAGAGCGUGUAGGCGGCUUGUUAAGUCUUGCGUGAAAUCUCGGGGCUCAACCCGAGCGGUCGUGAGAAACUGGCAGGCUAGAGUGCGGGAGAGGAGAGUGGAAUUCCUGGUGUAGCGGUGAAAUGCGCAGAUAUCAGGAAGAACACCCGUGGCGAAGGCGGCUCUCUGGAACGCAACUGACGCUGAGACGCGAAAGCGUGGGGAGCAAACAGG
rnacentral:rRNA from 1 species